rnacentral:lncRNA from 1 species
CUGGUUGGUUUAUUUUUCAAGGGUUUGGAUCUGACCACACGCAGACAACUACUUCAGCCCUCCUCAGAUUCACACAAGUGAUAGGAAGCAGCAAAAUGCAGGAGGACAGGACAGAAGAUGGGAGUGGGAGAAGAAUUAAGCCAUCUGGAAAAUGGCUGGAGGAAUGGCAAAUAACUUCCCAUCACCUCUCAAGCUGAUAAACUGGGUUGAAACUGCUGCUUCCUAUCAGUGGAAUUGGCUCAAAUUGGAGGCCAUGAAGCAGCACUCAGCCACAGCUCACAUCUGCCUGGUGGGAGUGAGAGCUUCAACACUGCCUCGUCCAUUGCUGUACAGCCAAGUCCUAAGGAAGCAGAAGGCCCAGGAAGCAGAAGAGCUUAAUUCACGUCCUUCCACAGCUGGAGGGGUUUCAGACCCACAUUUCCACUCCUCACGGAUGGGCACCAGUCCUUCAACACUCAUCUGCACUGGUGAGGAAACCACCACCAUCAACAAUUGAAACCUGCAGCCAAAUAGCCCCAAGGAGGUGGAGAAGGAGCCUGAUCCUGUAGGCCAGCACGUAGAAGCACACCUGAGAGGAAAGGAGAGGCAGCAGCUGCCUGCAUUAUUUUCUCUCUAUGCAAUGAGAACUAAUAUAAAGGACAUAACCAAGAUGAAAUGGAGCUUGAGGGCCGACAGAACCAUCUCUGGGAGCCCAGGUACUGCAGCUGGUGAGACUGGGCCAGCAGCUCCAGGAAGGGCCACACUGCUCUGUGAGAGGCAGAGGGAAGAAGUAACCCAGGGUAGGCACCUCGAGGAUGACAGAAAACAGGGGACAGGGAUGACUUGAUGAAGACUGCUUUACUUGAGCUUAUUUUAUUACCUUCUUUUGAUGGUUUAGUUGUAGGUGUCCCCAUUUUUAUGCUACUGUGACAAACAUUUCAGAAUCAUCUUUAAUAAACACAGAAGUAAUCCAGCUCA